UUAACGAGUUAGGGCCUCUGGCCCGACCUCCAACCCUUUGUCUCUAAAACCUCGUUGCCUCGGGGGUGGCCCUGCCUCACGGCGGGUCCCCCGGAGGACCACUACAACUCUGCAUCUGAAUGUCGUCUGAGUAGGAUUUUUAAUGAAAUCAAAACUUUCAACAACGGAUCUCUUGGUUCUGGCAUCGAUGAAGAACGCAGCGAAAUGCGAUAAGUAAUGUGAAUUGCAGAAUUCAGUGAAUCAUCGAAUCUUUGAACGCAUAUUGCGCCCCUUGGUAUUCCUUGGGGCACACCUGUUCGAGCGUCAUUUCACCAAUCAAGCCUCGCUUGGUGUUGGGCGGUGCGCAUGCCGCACGCCCCAAAUGCACCGGCCGAGCGUGCUCUCCCCCGGCGUCGUGGAGACAUAUCGCCACGGGGAUGGGACCGCCCUCGCGCCGCAAAAACCUCUUUUUAAAGGUUGACCUCGGAUCAGGUGGGGAUACCCGCUGAACUUAAGCAUAUCAAUAA
rnacentral:misc_RNA from 1 species